AUGGUGUUGGUGCUUUGUGAAAAGUUUGGCCACCUGAACCUGACAUUUUCUAUUGGAGAGCAUAUCAGUUCUAAUGGCGUAAUUUUGAUCGCAAUGACAUCGAUGGCGCCGAGAGGAGGCAAAGCGGCAAGACGUGUUUUGCCGUGCUGGGUCGAACGCCGGCCAGAACGUGUCACCGACAUGUGCUGGGUUGCUGGUCGAUUUCUUGCUUUGCGUACAGUUCACCAGCGGAUUAUGGGUAAGAAUGGACUAAAGAAGGAUGAUGUUGGAGAUCUGAAAAUAAUUUUUGGUUGCCAAAUGUUGUUGGAAAAUAAAAAAUCUACACGGGAAGACCUCGGCAAAUACUUUCAGCAACAAAGAAACAAAGUUGACCACCCCGUCAUCACGAUAAAGGCCUUCUUCGACUCCAACGGUGGCCUCUGGCAGUACCAGAGCAUCUCGGGCAAUCCCACGGGCAUCUUCUUUGCCAUGGGCACCCAGGGCAGGCAAGCGAAGACUCAGACCAUCGCCACCUGUCGUCUACAUUGA
rnacentral:rRNA from 1 species